rnacentral:lncRNA from 1 species
GCUUCGGAUUCUCGCGCUGUGCCCUGGCUCCUCUGGAUGCGUCACUACAUAUAACCUGCGGUGGGCGAGCGUGCAAGCGACGAGAACACAGAACCAGAACGCACUGGAAGCUGGCUCGGCGACCACGGCCGGGUGCGCUUGCUGAAGCUUUGGCAGCCUUGUCAGCUGAAGAGGAUAUGGACGCGAAAGAGUAGCAGCUGCACUUUUGGCACGUGGAAGCAGACAGAGCAGCCUUCACUUACAUCAAAGGCAGUCUCAAGGGGGUGAUGAAACUUGG